UUGCAUGUGGAAGUACCUUCUCCUCGUUCUCUUUGGAGCAGGAAUACAUCCAGAACAUGCUACAUUACAUGAGGAGUUCUCAGGGCUGUCAACCUUACAGUAGAGGUUGAGUGGUAGUAUAUUUCUCCUACACAA
rnacentral:snoRNA from 1 species